rnacentral:sRNA from 1 species
UUACCUUAUUGUGAAUUACAACAUGUUUUUUAGCUAGAGGUAAAAAGCCGUCAGUGCCCGAACUUGGUGAUUCGGCAGGAGCAUUAGAAAAAUCUAAUGCAUACACAAAAAGAAUAAGAGUAGAAUAGAUCACAAA